ensembl:snoRNA
GGGUUGCACGUAGAGCAGAGGGCUUAAAUAAAUGGCUCAUCGGUUUGCAACCCACCAGACAGGAAUCUGGGUUCACUGUGACAAGAGGCACAAAAACUUCUAGUGUUUCAAUGAACAAAUAUCCAAACUGU